GRAWCCAAUUUUCUGCCACCGAAUACAUUAGCAUGGGAUAAUGGAAUAGGACCCUGUUUCAAUUUUCAGUUGGUUUUGGCAGCGCGAGGACUAGGGUAAUGAAUAAUAGGGAUAGUUGGGGGCAUUAAUAUUUAAUUGUCAGAGGUGAAAUUCUUGGAUUUAUGAAAGAUUAACUUCUGCGAAAGCAUCUGCCAAGGAUGUUUUCAUUAAUCAAGAACGAAAGUUAGGGGAUCGAAGACGAUCAGAUACCGUCGUAGUCUUAACCAUAAACGAUGCCGACCAGCGAUUAGGAGACGUUGAAUACAAAACACCACCAUCGGUGCGGUCGUCCUUGGCGCGUUGGUCUUCAAAAGCCAGCGCGCGGGGGCGGCUUAGCCCGGUGGCACCGGUGAAUGACUCCCCUAGCAGCUUGUGWKAA
rnacentral:rRNA from 1 species